rnacentral:tRNA from 1 species
GGGGGUGUGGCUCCAUUGGUAGAACGCCUGUCUAGCGCCCAUGAAGCCCUGGGUUCAGUUCCCAGCACCACUU